GCUUUCAUGAUGUAGUGGUCAGCACGCUCGGCGCGUAUCCCAGAGGUCCGUGGUUCGAGUCCCGGCGAGAGCA
rfam:Stegodyphus mimosarum contig84017, whole genome shotgun sequence.